AGGGCGUAUGGUGGAUGCCUUGGCAUUAGAAGCAGAAGAAGGACGCGACAAACGGCGAAACGCUUCGGGGAGCAGUACGUAUGCAUUGAUCCGGAGAUAUCCGAAUGGGGGAACCCACUAGAGGUAAAGCUCUAGUAUCUGCUGAUGAACACAUAGUCAGCAAGAGUACAACCCGGUGAACUGAAACAUCUUAGUAACCGGAGGAAAAGAAAGAAAAAUCGAUUUCCUUAGUAGUGGCGAGCGAAACGGUAAUAGCCCAAACCAGUCUUUGGACUGGGGUUGUAGGACACCUAUAUACGGAGUUACAAAAUUUUAUGAUAGUAGAACAUUCUGGAAAGAAUGGCCAUAGAAAGUGAAAGCCUUGUAUACGAAAUCAUGAAAUCUCUAUGGUGUAUCCUGAGUACGGCGGGACACGUGAAAUCUUGUCGGAAUCUACGGGGACCAUCCCGUAAGGCUAAAUACUCUCUAGUGACCGAUAGUGAACAAGUACCGUGAGGGAAAGGUGAAAAGAACCCCGGGAGGGGAGUGAAAUAGAAACUGAAACCGUAUGCUUACAAAAAGUUCGAGCCCGUUAACGGGUGAGAGCGUGCCUUUUGCAGAAUGAGCCGGCGAGUUAUUGUAUGGUGCGAGGUUAAGGUGAAGAGCUGGAGCCGAAGCGAAAGCGAGUCUGAAUAGGGCGAAUUUAGUAUGGUGCAAUAGACCCGAAACCGAGUGAUCUAGCCAUGAGCAGGUUGAAGUUUUGGUAACACAAAAUGGAGGACCGAACCGACGUACCCGGAAACGUGCGCGGAUGACUUGUGGCUAGCGGUGAAAUUCCAAUCGAACUCGGAUAUAGCUGGUUCUCCCCGAAAUAGGUUUAGGCCUAGCCUUAAAUGAAUGUCUAUGGAGGUAGAGCACUGAAUAUGUGAUGGCCCCACACAGGGGUACUGAAUAUAAUCAAACUCCGAAUGCUAUGGACAACUAUUUAGGAGUCAGUGUAUGGGUGAUAACGUCCAUACGCGAGAGGAAAAGAAUCCAGAUCGCCAGCUAAGGUCCCAAAAUAUAUGCUAAGUGGGAAAGGAUGUGGAGUUGUCAAAACAGCUAGGAGGUUGGCUUAGAAGCAGCCAUCCUUUAAAGAGUGCGUAAUAGCUCACUAGUCGAGUGACACUGCGCCGAAGAUGUACCGGGGCUAAACACGAUACCGAAGUUGCGGACUUAUGCGUAAGUAUAAGUGGUAGGGGAGCGUUGUAAGUGCGAAGAAGGUAGACCGAGAGGACUGUUGGAGCGCUUAGAAGUGAGAAUGCCGGCGUGAGUAACGAAAAAUGGGUGAGAAUCCCAUUCACCGAAUGACAAAGGGUUCCUGGGUAAAGUUCGUCUUCCCAGGGUAAGUCAGGACCUAAGGCGAGGCUGAAGAGCGUAGUCGAUGGACAACGGGCAUAUAUUCCCGUACCGUCUAUAUAACUGAAGGAGUGACGAAGGAGGUAAAAUUAAGCUGGUUAAUGGAUUCCAGUCUAAGCACAAAGGCUGAUACGUAGGGAAAACCGCGAUAUUAUUAAAGCUGAAGUGUGAUGGGUAAGGGAGGCUUUCGGGCCGAACGAAGUUAGUGGAGCCAAACUUCCAAGAAAAGCUUCUAGGGCUAAUUAUAUAGAUGCCUGUACCGAAAACCGACACAGGUGGUCAGGAAGAGAAUUCUAAGGUGAGCGAGAGAACUAUGGUUAAGGAACUCGGCAAAAUGACCCCGUAACUUAGGGAGAAGGGGUGGUCUAGCGAUAGACCCGCAGUGAAUAGGCCCAGGCAACUGUUUACCAAAAACACAGGUCUCUGCAAACACGUAAGUGGAAGUAUAGGGGCUGACGCCUGCCCAGUGCUGGAAGGUUAAAGUAAGAGGUAAGUAUGACGCAAGUCGAUAAUACGAAGCUUCGAACUGAAGCCCCAGUGAACGGCGGCCGUAACUAUAACGGUCCUAAGGUAGCGAAAUUCCUUGUCAGGUAAGUUCUGACCCGCACGAAAGGCGUAAUGAUCUGGGUACUGUCUCAACCAUAGACUCGGUGAAAUCUUAAUACCUGUGAAAAUGCAGGUUACCCGCGACAGGACGGAAAGACCCCAUGGAGCUUUACUGUAGCUUGAUAUUGAAAUUCGUUAUAUUAUGUAGAGGAUAGGUGGGAGACGAAGAGACUAAGGCGCCAGUCUUAGAGGAGUCGCCCUUGGAAUACCACCCUUAAUAUGAUGAAUUUCUAACCCAGGACCGUGAUCCGGUUCGGGGACAGUGUCUGGUGGGCAGUUUGACUGGGGCGGUCGCCUCCUAAAGAGUAACGGAGGCGUUCAAAGGUUAGCUGAGCACGGUCAGAAAUCGUGUAUACAAGUGCAAAGGCAGAAGCUAGCCUGACUGCGAGACUGACAGGUCGAGCAGAUGCGAAAGCAGGACUUAGUGACCCGAUGGUUGUGAGUGGAAAUGCCAGAGCUCAACGGAUAAAAGUUACCCUGGGGAUAACAGGCUUAUCUCCCCCGAGAGUCCAUAUCGACGGGGAGGUUUGGCACCUCGAUGUCGGCUCAUCGCAUCCUGGAGCGGUAGUACGUUCCAAGGGUUGGGCUGUUCGCCCAUUAAAGCGGCACGCGAGCUGGGUUCAGAACGUCGUGAGACAGUUCGGUCCCUAUCCGUCGUGGGCGUAGGAAAUUUGAGAGGAGCUGUCCUUAGUACGAGAGGACCGGGAUGGACGCACCGCUGGUGUACCAGUUGUUCCGCCAGGAGCAUCGCUGGGUAGCUAUGUGCGGAAGGGAUAAGCGCUGAAAGCAUCUAAGUGCGAAGCCCCCCUCAAGAUGAGAUUUCCUUUGC
rnacentral:rRNA from 1 species